GUGAACGCUGGCGGUAGGCCUAACACAUGCAAGUCGAACGGCAGCACAGUAAGAGCUUGCUCUUACGGGUGGCGAGUGGCGGACGGGUGAGGAAUACAUCGGAAUCUACUUUUUCGUGGGGGAUAACGUAGGGAAACUUAGGCUAAUACCGCAUACGACUUACGGGUGAAAGCAGGGGACCUUCGGACCUUGCGCGAGUGAAUGAGCCGAUGUCGGAUUAGCUAGUUGGCGGGGUAAAGGCCCACCAAGGCGACGAUCCGUAGCUGGUCUGAGAGGAUGAUCAGCCACACUGGAACUGAGACACGGUCCAGACUCCUACGGGAGGCAGCAGUGGGGAAUAUUGGACAAUGGGCGCAAGCCUGAUCCAGCCAUACCGCGUGGGUGAAGAAGGCCUUCGGGUUGUAAAGCCCUUUUGUUGGGAAAGAAAAGCAGCAGGUUAAUACCCCGCUGUUCUGACGGUACCCAAAGAAUAAGCACCGGCUAACUUCGUG
rnacentral:rRNA from 1 species